rnacentral:rRNA from 1 species
AAUUGGAGGGCAAGUCUGGUGCCAGCAGCCGCGGUAAUUCCAGCUCCAAUAGCGUAUAUUAAAGUUGUUGCAGUUAAAAAGCUCGUAGUUGAAUUUCGGGACCAAUAUUUCGGUCAUGCCGUUGGUAUGCACUGUUAUCAUUGAUUUCUCACCUUCUAAAGAACCGUAAUGCCAUUAAUUUGGUGUUACGGGGAAUUAGGACUGUUACCUUGAAAAAAUUAGAGUGUUUAAAGCAGGCUCACGCUUGAAUACAUUAGCAUGGAAUAAUGAAAUAGGACAUCCGAUUCUAUUUUGUUGGUUUCUAGGAUCGAUGUAAUGAUUAAUAGGGAUAGUUGGGGGCAUUAGUAUUCAAUUGUCAGAGGUGAAAUUCUUGGAUUUAUUGAAGACUAACUACUGCGAAAGCAUUUGCCAAGGAUGUUUUCAUUAAUCAAGAACGAAAGUUAGGGGAUCGAAGACGAUCAGAUACCGUCGUAGUCUUAACCAUAAACUAUGCCGACUAGGGAUCGGAUGAUGUUAAUUUUUUAAUGACUCAUUCGGCGCCUUACGGGAAACCAAAGUGU